CUUCAGCGAGCCGAGCCACAGGGGCCGGUCCCCGGGCCGCUCCCGCCCGUAGGUGGCGAGGAGCGCCUGGGCCUC
rfam:Streptomyces albireticuli strain MDJK11, complete genome.